rnacentral:rRNA from 1 species
AACGUAGGAGGCGAGCGUUAUCCGGAUUUACUGGGCGUAAAGCGUACGCAGGUGGCUUCGUGAGUCGGACAUGAAAGCUCCCGGCUUAACUGGGAGAGGUUGUUCGAUACUGCGGGGCUUGAGGUUGGGAGAGGGACGUGGAAUUCCCGGUGUAGUGGUGGAAUGCGUAGAUAUCGGGAGGAACACCAGUGGCGCAAGCGGCGUCCUGGCCCACACCUGACGCUGAGGUACGAAAGCGUGGGUAGCAAACAGG